ensembl:lncRNA
CGACAGUGUGAGCCGCUUGACGGUAAACAUAACUUCAUCGCUGCUGUAACUGAAGAGCGCGCAGCAGCGCCUCACGCGCCAGGAGCGAGUAUUUGGCCACAAACAAAUAAACAUAGCUCCCAAAAACAGGUAAAGUCAGACGGGGUUUGUGCAGAAUGACUGAACUCGCGGCCUGAUGUGUGUCUGAAGCCAGCUGAGCUCGACAGCUGCACACAGCUGCUUAAAGGCUGCAGGCUGUCAGAAGACAUCCUCGCGCUCAGACACGUGGCGACGACUUUUAAUUGUUCACUGUCUCGCAGGAGUUUGACUGCAGUUACAUCAGAUGAACACACGGCGGCGGCCGAGUUCCAUCAUUCACCAGAACGAGAGGCAACCUAUGGACAGUCAGACAGUCACCUUCAAGUCUCUCCUUCCUGGACAGAGUGUCACUCUAAACCAAAGCAGAAUGGGACACUGAUGGACUGUGUGUUGUCAUGUAUCAUUUUGAUUGCAGUGUUCUGUCAGUGUUGGUGUGUUUGUGUACAGUAUGUGUGUGACUAGCCAUUGAUAAUACUAGGGCACUUGUCAAUAUACUGUAUGUCUCUUUUCCAUACAAUAAAAUAAAAUGGUCACC